GUUAACAAAAACAUGUCCUUUUGAUUAUAAUUUAAGGUCUAAUCUGCCCACUGAUAAAUUAAAUGGCCGCGGUAUUUUGACCGUGCAAAGGUAGCAUAAUAAUUAGUUUCUUAAUUAGAAGCUGGAAUGAAAGAUUGAAUGAGAAAAUAACUGUCUCAAAUUAAAUUAUUUAGAAUUUUAUUUUUAAGUUAAAAAGCUUAAAUAUAUUUAAAAGACGAGAAGACCCUAUAGAGUUUUAUUUAAUUGUUUUUUAAAAAAAUAUUAAUUUGAAUAUUUUUUAUUUAGUAAUUAAAUUUUGUUGGGGAGAUAAAAAAAUUAAGGAAACUUUUUUUAUAUUAAAACAUUAAUUAAUGAUUAAUUGAUCCAAUUUUAUUGAUUAUAAGAUAAAAUUACCUUAGGGAUAACAGCGUAAUUUUUUUUGAGAGUUCUUAUCGAAAAAAGAGAUUGCGACCUCGAUGUUGGAUUAAAGUUAAAUUUUGGUGUAGAAGCUAAAAGAUUAGGUCUGUUCGACCUUUAAAACUUUACAUGAUCUGAGUUCAGACCGG
rnacentral:rRNA from 1 species